rfam:Burkholderia pseudomallei strain K96243, chromosome 1, complete sequence.
GUCGAGUCUAGGGCGGCCACCCGAAAAUCGGACACCUUCUCCGGCUGGCUUGGCGUUCUUCGUGAAGG